AUGACUGACGGUCAUCUCUUCAACAAUAUCACCCUCGGAGGCCGCGGCGGCACUAAUCCAGGGCAGAUAAAAAUAUAUUCGGGGGGAAUUUUAUGGAAGAGACAGGGGGGUGGUAAAUCAAUCGAUGUUGACAAAGCUGACGUAGUGGGCGUAACAUGGAUGAAGGUUCCAAAGACUAAUCAACUUGGUCUUCAGACCAAAGAUGGGUUGUACUACAAAUUCACUGGAUUUCGUGAUCAGGAUGUUGUCAGUUUGACCAAUUUUUUCCAAAACACAUUUGGAAUAACUGUGAAGGAAAAGCAGCUUUCUGUUAGUGGGCGCAAUUGGGGAGAAGUUGAUUUAAAUGGAAAUAUGCUGGCUUUCAUGGUUGGUUCAAAGCAAGCUUUUGAGGUGCCUUUAGCGGAUGUCUCGCAAACAAACCUUCAAGGAAAAAAUGAUGUGAUCUUGGAGUUUCAUGUGGAUGAUACCACUGGAGCCAAUGAGAAAGAUUCAUUGAUGGAGAUAAGUUUCCAUAUACCAAAUUCCAACACCCAGUUUGUUGGUGAUGAAAAUCGGCCCCCUGCUCAGGUUUUCCGUGAUAAAAUAAUGUCUAUGGCUGAUGUGGGUGCUGGAGGUGAAGAUGCUGUUGUAACAUUUGAGGGUAUUGCAAUUCUUACACCCAGGGGACGAUACAGUGUUGAGUUACACCUGUCAUUCUUGCGGCUUCAAGGACAGGCUAAUGAUUUCAAAAUCCAGUAUAGCAGUGUGGUUCGACUAUUUUUACUUCCUAAGUCUAAUCAGCCACAUACCUUUGUCGUUAUUAGUCUUGACCCCCCUAUUCGGAAAGGACAAACUUUGUACCCUCAUAUUGUGAUGCAGUUCGAAACUGAUUAUGUGGUUGAAAGUGAAUUGGCAUUACAUGAAGAUCUUUAUAACUCAAAGUACAAAGACAAGUUGGAGCUGACUUAUAAGGGGCUCAUCCAUGAAGUGUUCACCACAAUAUUACGUGGUUUGUCUGGGGCCAAGGUUACCAAGCCUGGAAAAUUUAGGAGUUGUCAAGAUGGUUAUGCUGUGAAAUCAUCUUUGAAAGCUGAAGAUGGAAUUCUUUAUCCCCUUGAGAAAAGCUUCUUCUUUCUACCUAAACCUCCCACUCUUAUUACUCAUGAAGAGAUUGACUAUGUGGAAUUUGAGCGACAUGCUGCUGGUGGUUCCAACAUGCAUUAUUUUGACCUUCUUAUCAGACUAAAAUCUGAUCAAGAGCAUCUCUUCCGUAAUAUUCAGAGAAAUGAAUACCACAAUUUGUACGGUUUUAUCAGUUCAAAGGGCUUGAAAAUUAUGAAUUUAGGAGAUGCCCAACCAGCUGUUGGUGUGGCUCAGGUUCUUGAGAGUGAAGAUGAUGAUGCCGUUGAUCCACAUCUUGAGCGCAUCAGAAAUGAAGCUGGUGAAGAUGAAAGUGAUGAGGAGGAUGAGGAUUUUGUUGCCGAGAAGGAUGAUGAAGGGUCUCCUACUGAUGAUUCUGGGGAAGAAGGUUCCGAUGCUAGCCAAAGUGGUGAUGAGAGAGAGAAGCCUGCCAAAAAGGAACCGAAGAAGGAUCUUCCUUCUAAGACAUCUACAUCUACUUCUAAGAAGAAAUCAAAGGAUGCCGAUGAAGAUGGAAAGAAGAAGAAACAAAAGAAGAAAAAGGAUCCAAAUGCACCCAAGAGGGCGAUGUCUGGUUUCAUGUUCUUUUCUCAAAUGGAAAGAGAGAAUCUAAAGAAAACUAAUCCUGGGAUUUCAUUUACGGAUGUGGGAAGAGUACUCGGAGAGAAAUGGAAAAAGUUGUCAGCGGAGGAGAAGGAGCCAUAUGAGGCAAAAGCCCUUAUUGAUAAAAAACGCUACAAGGAUGAGAUUAGUGGCUACAAGAAUCCACAACCGAUGAAUAUUGAUUCAGGAAAUGAAUCUGACAGUGCCUAAGGUUGCUUUAACAAUUAGAGUAGUCCUGUCAGCUUCUGUUCGUUUUAGGGUUGCUCAUUAUCAUGACAGGCAAAUAACAUAUAAGUCGUUUUACGAUAUUUCUAAAUGAUGAUGGCAUCUCCAAUGGUGAAUUGACGCCACUUAAUGCUCUUUGUGAAGUUCACUGGAACGUGUGCCGAGAGUAAACUAUGCUCGGCUUAGGAAAGGUUUGCUGUUUUUUUAAUUAUGGACUUGUUCCCGUUUAAAUGUGAUGGUUAAAACUAAAUUGUUUAAUAUACAAACGUGUUCUGAUUUGAAGAAUGAAUCAGGUUCAUGGAGGCUAAGGGACAAAGCAACGACACAUUUGUAUAUUUAGAUAGGUUUCUAUUUAUUCUAUUUAUUUAAGUUAUUAAAGGCGCGUCGGACACACUAAUUACGUUUACCAAGUAUGGUUUAAUUUAAUUCAAACACACAGUUGUACCAAACAAACAAAACAAAAUGAAAAUGUUAAACAAGCUUUUAUCA